UAGGGAAUCUUCGGCAAUGGACGGAAGUCUGACCGAGCAACGCCGCGUGAGUGAAGAAGGUUUUCGGAUCGUAAAGCUCUGUUGUAAGAGAAGAACGAGUGUGAGAGUGGAAAGUUCACACUGUGACGGUAUCUUACCAGAAAGGGACGGCUAACUACGUGCCAGCAGCCGCGGUAAUACGUAGGUCCCGAGCGUUGUCCGGAUUUAUUGGGUGUAAAGCGAGCGCAGGCGGUUAGAUAAGUCUGAAGUUAAAGGCUGUGGCUUAACCAUAGUACGCUUUGGAAACUGUUUAACUUGAGUGCAAGAGGGGAGAGUGGAAUUCCAUGUGUAGCGGUGAAAUGCGUAGAUAUAUGGAGGAACACCGGUGGCGAAAGCGGCUCUCUGGCUUGUAACUGACGCUGAGGCUCGAAAGCGUGGGGAGCAAACAGGAUUAGAUACCCUGGUAGUCCACGCCGUAAACGAUGAGUGCUAGGUGUUAGACCCUUUCCGGGGUUUAGUGCCGUAGCUAACGCAUUAAGCACUCCGCCUGGGGAGUACGACCGCAAGGUUG
rnacentral:rRNA from 1 species